rnacentral:tRNA from 1 species
GUGAUAGCUCAGUCAGUAAAGCAUGAGACUCUUAAACUCAGGAUCAUGGGUUCAAGCCCCACGCUGGGCAACA